rnacentral:rRNA from 1 species
AUUGAACGCUGGCGGCAGGCCUAACACAUGCAAGUCGAACGAGUGGCGGACGGGUGAGUAAUGUCUGGGAAACUGCCUUAUGGAGGGGGAUAACUACUGGAAACGGUAGCUAAUACCGCAUACCAUCGGAUGUGCCCAGAUGGGAUUAGCUAGUGGGUGGGGUAAAGGCUCACCUAGGCGACGCUCCCUAGCUGGUCUGAGAGGAGGACCAGCAAUACUGGGACUUAGACACGGUCCAGACUCCUACGGGAGGCAGCAGUGGGGAAUAUUGCACAAUGGGCGCCAGCCUGAUGCAGCCAUGCCGCGUGUAUGAAGAAGGCCGUAGGGUUGGAAAGUACUUUCAGUGGGGAGGCGUUACCGGCAGAAGAAGCACCGGCUAACUCCGUGCCAGCAGCCGCGGUAAUUC